AACGAACGCUGGCGGCAGGCUUAACACAUGCAAGUCGAACGCCCCGCAAGGGGAGUGGCAGACGGGUGAGUAACGCGUGGGAAUCUACCCAGAUCUUCGGAACAACUGAGGGAAACUUCAGCUAAUACCGGAUACGCCCUACGGGGGAAAGAUUUAUCGGUUCUGGAUGAGCCCGCGUUGGAUUAGCUAGUUGGUGAGGUGAAGGCUCACCAAGGCGACGAUCCAUAGCUGGUCUGAGAGGAUGAUCAGCCACACUGGGACUGAGACACGGCCCAGACUCCUACGGGAGGCAGCAGUGGGGAAUAUUGGACAAUGGGCGAAAGCCUGAUCCAGCCAUGCCGCGUGAGUGAUGAAGGCCUUAGGGUUGUAAAGCUCUUUCAGUAGGGAAGAUAAUGACGGUACCUACAGAAGAAGCCCCGGCUAACUUCGUGCCAGCCGCCGCGGUAACAC
rnacentral:rRNA from 1 species